GGGCCCGCACAAGCAGUGGAGUAUGUGGUUUAAUUCGACGCAACGCGAAGAACCUUACCAGGGUUGACAUCCGACUAACGAAGCAGAGAUGCAUUAGGUGCCCUUCGGGGAAAGUCGAGACAGGUGGUGCAUGGUUGUCGUCAGCUCGUGUCGUGAGAUGUUGGGUUAAGUCCCGCAACGAGCGCAACCCCUAUUGUUAGUUGCUACGCAAGAGCACUCUAGCGAGACUGCCGUUGACAAAACGGAGGAAGGUGGGG
rnacentral:rRNA from 1 species